rnacentral:rRNA from 1 species
UACGGGGGGGGCAAGCGUUGUUCGGAAUUACUGGGCGUAAAGGGCGCGUAGGCGGCCUGUUAAGUCGAACGUGAAAUCCCCGGGCUCAACCCGGGAACUGCGUCCGAUACUGGCAGGCUUGAAUCCGGGAGAGGGAUGCGGAAUUCCAGGUGUAGCGGUGAAAUGCGUAGAUAUCUGGAGGAACACCGGUGGCGAAGGCGGCAUCCUGGACCGGCAUUGACGCGUGAGG